GACGAACGCUGGCGGCGUGCUUAACACAUGCAAGUCGAACGGAAAGGCCCUGCUUUUGUGGGGUGCUCGAGUGGCGAACGGGUGAGUAACACGUGAGUAACCUGCCCUUGACUUUGGGAUAACUUCAGGAAACUGGGGCUAAUACCGGAUAGGAGCUCCUGCUGCAUGGUGGGGGUUGGAAAGUUUCGGCGGUUGGGGAUGGACUCGCGGCUUAUCAGCUUGUUGGUGGGGUAGUGGCUUACCAAGGCUUUGACGGGUAGCCGGCCUGAGAGGGUGACCGGCCACAUGGGGGCGGGGAAACGGCCCAGACCCCCGCGGGGGGAAGGAGGGGGGAAUUUUGCAAAAGGGGGGGAGGCUGGAGGCAGCAACGCCGGGGGGGGGAGGGGGGCCUUCGGGUGGAAAACCGUUUUCCCCUGGGACGAAGGGUGAGGGAGGGGAAUGGUGAAAGAAGAACGGGUAAAUUAGGG
rnacentral:rRNA from 1 species